ACUCAACCUUAGGCGUGGGACGCA
rnacentral:miRNA from 1 species